AUUCCAAUGUCUUGGAAAAUAACCAUCAACAGCACAUGGUUGCUCCUGAGAAUGCUGAAAUACUGCAAGUCCAGGCAGACACUUCUGUAGAUGUAUCAGAAAGUGAAACAGAAGUGUCCCAUGAACCUCCUGACAAUACAGUUUCACCAGUAAACCAGCAAAAGUCGUCAAUGAGCAUGGUCGAGGUGCUAUUUAAUAAAUGCAGACGUGGUAUGUACUGUAGAAUCACUCUCUAAGACACAAUUUAGAUGAGAACUGUGUAAAUACUAGUUGUCUUUUA